UACGUAGGGGGCAAGCGUUAUCCGGAUUUACUGGGUGUAAAGGGAGCGUAGACGGCAAGGCAAGUCUGAUGUGAAAACCCAGGGCUUAACCCUGGGAUUGCAUUGGAAACUGUCUGGCUCGAGUGCCGGAGAGGUAAGCGGAAUUCCUAGUGUAGCGGUGAAAUGCGUAGAUAUUAGGAAGAACACCAGUGGCGAAGGCGGCUUACUGGACGGUAACUGACGUUGAGGCUCGAAAGCGUGGGGAGCAAACAGG
rnacentral:rRNA from 1 species